CUUCAGUUGAUACCAGACUUGUCAGAACCAGACAUGUUACGGGCAUAUGGGAAGCUGAUUCUUAAUGAGCGUUUGUUUGAAGCUCUAAUGGAGCUGCCCAUGGAAAUGAGGAAGUCAUGGCUGUUAGUGUUGCCUUAA
rnacentral:rRNA from 1 species